AAAAACAUGAGUUUGAUCCUGGCUCGGAACGAAUGUUGGUUAUAUGCUUAGAAAAUGCAAGUUGAAUGUGGCUUGCUUCCCCAUCCAUCCAUGUGGGGGCAGAAGGGAAAGAGGAAUGACCCCCUCCUAGCACUUUCUCACUCACUCAAAUGAUAUGCAAGUGGUGCUUCAGGCAUGGGGCACAACAAGAAAAGUGGAAAAUGGGUGUGUAACGUGUGGGAAUCUAUUGAACAAUUCACUCCAAAUCCUUAAUAAUUCAUAAAGCAAGCUAAUUUGCGUUGUUUGACGAGCCUGCGUAGUAUCAGGUAGUUUUUUAGGUAAAGGCUGACCAAUCCAAUGAUGCUUGGUUGGUCAUUUCAGAUGAUCAGCCACACUGGGAUUGAGACACAGACCAGAAUCCCUCGGGGGGAAGUAGUGGGGAAUAUUGGACAAUGGUCUCAUGCCCGAUCUAACAAUAUCACGUGGGUGAAGAAGGGCAUUGUCACUUGUCAAGAUAUUUCAUUGAGUUUCGAUCAUGACAAGACUUGAGGAAGAAUCCUUGGCUAACUCCAUGCUAGAAGCCAUGAUAAUAUAGGGGGGAAGUUCUAUUCGAAGUGACUGGGCGUAAAGGGCACGUAGGCGGUGAAAAGGGUGGAAAGUGAAAGUCACCAAAGCACCAACUGGGUUCUUUCUUGACCAUUUCACUUGAGUGAGAUAAGGGAGAGUGGAAUUUCAUGUGGAGGGAUCAAAUCCUAAUAUAUACAAAGGAACACCAACUCCGAAGGUAGCUCUCUGGGUCCCCACUGACGCUGGGGUGCAAAAGCAUGGGGAGAAAACAUGAUUAGAUACCCUAGUAGUCUAUGUCGUAAGCGAUGAGUGUUAAUCCUUGGUCUUCCUUCCUACUAGGUAGGAUUAGGAUCAGGGGCCCAACUAACAUGUGAAACACUCCAUCUGGGGAGUAUAGUCACAAGACUGAAACUCAAAGGAAUUGACGGGGGCCUGCACAAGUGGUGGAGCAUGUGGUUUAAUUCAAUAAAAUGCAUAGAACCUUACCAGCCCUUGACAUAUGAACAAUUGUGCCUGUCCCUAAUGGGAUGGUGUGAAAAAUCAUACAGGUGUUGCAUGGCUAUCGUCAGCUCAUGUCGUGAGAUGUUUGAUUAAGUCUUAUAAUGAGAAAAACCCUUGUUUUUUGUUGCUGAGACAUGUGCCAAUGGAUCAAUGUCAUCGCCCCUUAUCAAUGAAUUAAUAGGGCAAGGUAAGUGCCUCUUUUUUAUUGAUGACACUCCUAUGAAGGAAGGUGCAUGCUGAACUCACAAGAGACUGCCAGUGAUAUGUUGGAGGAAGGUGGGGAUGAUGUCAAGUCUGCAUGGCCCUUAUGGGUUGGGCCACACACAUGCCACAAUGGAAAUGACAAUGGGAAGCAAGGUCAUAAGGAAGAGUGAAUCGGGAAAGAUUGCCUCAGUUCAAAUUGUUUUCUGCAAAUUGAGAACAUGAAGUUGGAAUCUCUAGUAUUCGUAGAUCAGCAUGCCAUGGUGAAUAUGUACCUGAUCCCUGUACACACCAUCCAUCACACCCUAGGAGUUGAUUUCACCCGAAGCAUUAGACCAAUGAUCACCCUAUCUAUAUAUGUUCCACUAGUGUAUCCCACGAAGGUUGGGAUGAUAUUAUUGGGGCAUACCAUGGUGGGGUCUUGGACUGGGGUGAAGUCAUAACAAGGUAGUCAUAGGGGAACUUGUGGCUAGAUAGAAUCCCUU
rfam:Picea glauca, whole genome shotgun sequence.